UGUCCUAUGGAAAAUAAAAAAGAUCAGCAGAACUAAAGCAAAAGCAGUCAUCUCCAGUGUGUGGGCCUUAGCAAAGAGUAAACCAAAUACCUCUCCUUGUGUUAGGAGCACUGUUAUAUUCCCAGCUCAGAGAUGAUUGUGUGCUGGGAAAUGCUUAUAUUCAUUAUUUCCCAACUAAUGCAUUUGGACAUAUGUAUUCCAGUUUUUCAAAGACACUACCCAAAGCUUCUUUACAUUUGCAUUGGUUAUAUUUAAUAUUUCUUAAGCUAAGAUCACUGAUUAUCCACACGUUAUUAGAAAUCUUUGGUUACAGUGAGGCUUAACCUGGGCUAAAGUCUCCUAAAUGGGACUACACUUAGAUCCGCCCUAUUUCACCUUUGGACUAACGUUGACUAAAUGGCUCCUAGAGUUACCCACAGAGGGAGCUUACUAUGAUGAGAGCUACUGUGGGGAAACAUAGUAUUCAACAGAGAAAUGGAAGAAUACAAGUAGCAAUGUUCCUUGUCUUCAAUAACAUUUGAGGGAAAGGAAUCUAGAAAUCCUAAAGCUUAGUCAGGGUGCCUAAGGUAAGACACAAAAAGAAAGAGACAUCCAGAAAGGAAGGUUGAAAGGAAAUGAAGGGCAGUAACAAAGCACCAAUGUAAAAUGACCCAUAGCCAACAAUAAAUGCAAUAACAAUAAAGGAAACUAACCCUCACAAAGGGUUUGAGGAGCUUCCUGCUGUGUGUCCUUAAACAGUGCGUGCCUCUUAAGUCUCUACAACACUUUUUUAAAGGGCAUUGAAUUGGACAUUGGUUUAAUUUUUACCUACGCUCCCUAUAAUCUCAGGAGGUAACCAUUAUUUAAUCAGAAUUACCCUUGCUCUGUUUAUCUGUGAGGCCUCAGACACAACGGUGGUUCAGCCCUCUCCCUAAGCAGUAGCAAGCUGAGUAAUGGCACACAUAUGUCUAGGAUAGCCAGCAUUCAGGAAAAUUGCUGUGAACCUCCUGUUUUUAAUUUUAAUAUAGAAAAAGUCUUUCAGGUUUGUGACACGAAGACAGAUUUAGCUUCCCACUUGUCAGCAAAUUUGUAAAAACCUCAAAACAAAUGAAUAUUUGGAAUUCACUCUAAGAGAUACAAAUCCUGAAUUUCUAACUAUCUUCUCAAAUAUUACUGAGGCCAGCAAGAUGCAAGUGUUCUACAAAAUAAUGAACUGUUCUAAGUGACAGUGUUGAUGCUGGAAGUGGAAUGUUAUGUUUUCGCUCAGCUGUAUUCAUUCAGAAAGUUUUUCUUGAACAUCUGCCACAUGAGGUGCAGAGAAUACUACCAGGUGCUAGUUUUUCCAGUAUUUGACUUCUGAUUACUAUUUCCUUUUCUCAUCUUUAGUUUUUCAAGAUUUUGCUUUACCAAAAUAGUAAAGCCUUUAUCAUCAGCUUAUAUUGAAUAAUGUUGUAAUUGGUUUCAAUCAAAGUUUCUCCUCAGGUACUUGGGGGCCCCUAGCCUUCUAAGGAACUCCCAGGCACCUACUUAACAAGGCCAGCUACACACUCAGUAUGUGAUAAGCCCCAUGAUGGAUGCAGGUUAGAAUUCAAAGACCUGGUUGGAGUCCUAGAUGUGGAGACAGGAUGAUCAGGUCACACUUGUUAGAUGACUAACACUAUCAGUAGAAGCUCUUGAGAGAUUUUCCUAACGCAGCAAGAUUUCUGUGAGUAGAGGUAUCCUGGGAGGUAUCCUGGGAGGCAGCCUAUUGACUUGACCAAGUAAGCUGAUCAGGUGGCCUCCUCUACCCACUAAAGAAAUGUGUAAACACUAGCAAUAAUUGCUUUAUCUUAAACUCCUGGACAUACUCAGUUCUUCCAUUCCACUGUUCUAUUGCCAAUACCUUUUGUUGUUUUCUUCACACUCCUCUUGGCAGCAAAUGUCUGAAAGUAUUUCAAUUGUGUAAUGUUAAGGAGUUUUUUCAUAGCUUCAGAAAAGAGGGCAGCAAAUAUGAAGCCUUAAGUUCAAAAUAAGUCAUUCUACCUAGAAAUACAGACCCCAGAGCACAUUGCAUGAAAAUACCUGUACUCUGCAGUUCCUCAAAGCAGUAUUCUUCCUGAAAAGCCAAACACCACACCUAUUUUCCUAUUUGCUAAGAAUCAGAAUAAGCACGUUGUAAAUAGUAUCCAAAGCAGAUUCUAAAAUGACAUAGUAAGAAGCCAGAUUCAAAUUGUAACCAAAGAAGACAAUAGAAAUCCCACUUUACCCCACUGUCAUCAGUUAGAACACCCUUGCAAAAACUGUAACCACUUAAGCAAUUCAUCUGAUCCCAGAAGAUCAUACCUUCUUUUGAAAGUAUAGGACAGAUAUCAGUGGGAAACGUCGGCGUUCUGAGCAACACAGGAUAAAUGUAGGAGGGCCUUAAAAAAUAAAUCUCAAUUCAUACACUGGAGCAGCAAAAAACUGAGCAGGAAAGGAAACAGAAUCCAAAGUCAUUUUUCAUAUAGCUGUUGUCAAAUAGUAUAACCUUGGUGUCUUCUUUGAGUUGCCUGGACAGUAUUUAUGAAACAAAAAACUAAAUGCCCCCCAUUUGGGGACGGGGGGAGGGGUUCAGACCUCUAACCUGGAUUCAGAGCCUUAGAGGCCGAGAGGGAAUCUGGAAUCUGGUAUUACUGAGAUCCUAGGUAAAAGAACCAGCCUGGCAGUCUUUCCCACCUCAUUGGUCCGUGCUUUUAUUUUUAAACCC
rnacentral:lncRNA from 1 species